CAAAAAUCCAAAAUAAGACGGGAUUCACUCCUGGAUUCUGUUCCCACUGUCACAUCACGAGCUCAGUUCUCCGUGCAGUGUGACACUAAAGCGCCCACAUCUGCGAGGAGACCACACGAGAAGCUGGGAAACAAGUGGAAAUUCACAGAGGGAUACAAAGUAAAGCUGCAGGAGCAGUUUUAAUGGUUUUGCUGCACGCGCUGUUUUGACGCCACAUUUCCUUUCACAGUUUCAGCUUUUAGUGUGUCAGCAGUCAGAGGUUGCUUAGCAUAAAACAGGGAUCCCGGAGUUUCACGCUGUGAUGUAUCCUAAUUUUAACCUGAUAAAAACGGAGAUCCGGUGCUGGCAGAGACCCUGGAGAGAGAGGCCGUGUGCAAAACCAACAUAAGCGUAACCUUGGUGCUGAUUUCGCUGCUUGGCCAUUAAUCCAGUAGGUUUUUUUUCCCGUAUCAGUAUGUUAGUCGCGUUCCCAGAAAUUCACAUGUUCAGCUUUCCUCUCUGCGACUCGGUCCCAGGGGCUGAUGGGAAGAAUCGAUGCUUCUCAGAUGGAACAAAACUUUGAUUUCCCUCCCACAGACGGCUCGUGUAAAUCCGCCCGGGCAGCUUCGAGGAUGGGAAACCCUCUGCAGUCUCAGCACCGCCAGUGUGGUUUAUUCUUCCCAGAAAUCAGCGUUUUAGCAGCGACGAGUGUUUCCCAUCCCGACAGCAGAAACACGAACAGCACACACCGACUGUUUCAGGACACUAGCUCACGUUUUGUUUUGAUCUCUGAUUAAUUGGAGGAACAAAAAAAAGAAAAAGCACAAUUUUUUUGAUUUUCUCUUCAGCAGACACUUUAUACAUUUACAGACUUCAUCUCCAAAAACACUAUUUAUUCAUGAGUCAAAGCAACAAGUGUUUUGUCACGACUUGUUCUGGAAGCGAGUGGACUUCCUCAUCAAGUCACCGCCGUCCUGCAUAUCUGAAAACGUGUCAUCUGCUACCUCGAGGAAUGAUUUCUGUGUUUGCAUGAAGAACUUGUGUAGCUCUGUAAUCUCAUCAGAUGGUUUUUAUUAGUGCUUAGAGUUCUCAGAUGUUUUGUAGGAGCCGAUUUAAAGGAGGAGGCGGCGUUCAGUGGCAGCGCACACUCUCUGGAAACUGAAGUUGCUAUUUUCAGCUUUGGGCUCCGUUCUGUGCUUUCCAAGGUCGCUCUGUAUCUGUGUUUGUUUUACUUUCUCCACCAUCUUUUCCUUCUUUCUCUCACACAGUCGCUUCACUCGCAUCCAGAUUGUUGUUCUUUUUUUUAGCUUUUGUUUGAUCAGACUUGAAGCUGCAGAUGGUGCCUGAGAAGGUGCGAUUCAAAGUCACAGUCAGAGAAGUGGCUCAGACGUUUCGGUGACUUUCUUUGUCACCAUUAAACACUCCAGCUGUCAUCAAACCUGUAAGGUGCUUUUUAUAACGACGCUGAACCCACGUCAGCCGUUUUCUCCUCUUGAUCCUCAGACUCCAUCCAGCGUUCCCAGUUCACUGUCUCACACACUUUGGGCUUCCACCAGUGACUCUUUUCUUAUUGAUCAGCAUCAUUUUUAGAUUUAACAAACUGUCAGAAAUCAUUCUUAUUAUUCCAGGAGCCGCUGAGACUUACUUGGAUAAUUCAAAUCUCACGUUUUAGAGGCAAAAACCAGAUUUUUUUCUAAUAGGUGAAAAUGUCUUUGCCAGCUGCCUAAAACACACAGUGAAAGGUGAAAAUGAGUAUUUUCAGGCUGUGUUAGAUGUUUAGAAGAAGGACUUCUCUUCCUCCUGCAGAGCCCUCUAUCAGCUCAUUCUACAUCAGACAUUUUUAUAGAACAAACAAUACCUGAACCCUAUGAAGUGCUCGUGACCUGUGACAGCUGGGAUAGGCUCCACCCCCUCUGGGACUAAUUAAUGCCUUCUCUGCUGGGUUUCGAUGUCUGAUCAGUGCAAUAAUGUGCAGUUUUGGUUCAAUAUGUUUUGUGCAAUCCAAACCAAGCUGAUGGAUAAUUAGAGAAAGUUGGCUGCGGCGUCGUUUAGCAGUUGCUUGAUGAAGGUUGUUUCAUCGACCCAGAAAUUGAGUAUAUCUGUGGAUGCUGUGAUUAUUGGCCGGGUCGAUCAUCACUGCAUCGUUAUCUUGUUUUUAUCUGCCUUACAUUCUUCACAGAAGUCCUCCUCUGCCAUCACAACUUUCCUGAUUAAAGUUGUGAUGUGUGGUUUUGAGUCCUGCUGUUUUUCUAGCAGAUUAUGAAAUGUUUGCCUUCAGAGGGACGGAGACGCUUUAAGCACAAAUCCCAACACAUCCUCCAAAUUAAAGGAAUUAAGAGCUGCGAGUUCAGACAGAAAUGUUUGCACAGUGUAUUAAUGAGGGUUUGGACUCGACUGCAGGAGAAAUUCAAGUUUGUCACUGGAUUAACUGUGAAAGCCUCGAGGGAAGUGAGCUCUUUGUCUGCCCGUCUCAUUAGGACAGAGUAGUUAAGUCUGAGUGAAGCGCCGGCUGUUUAACCCUGGUAAAAACUUCAGUCUGAGGAUGCUUCAGAGAACUCGUUUGCUUUUGUCUCAUCUCAUGUUUGUGUUUGUUUUACAUGAGGAAAAGAUUUUAAUCAAACUUUUUGUUUGUUUUGCUUUUUUAAAAUGAUAUUUUCCUUAAUUUAAUUGUGUGAAGACAUUCUUUGAAGCAUAUGAACAAGACGUUUGUCGUCCUUUAAGGCUGUCGGGUAAAGGAAUGCCGUGUUGUGCUGCCAUCUCGUGGACAGUCUGAACAGCCGCUGCGCACUGAUACAUGUACAGUGGUGCUUCACUGACCUCUCAGUCAUUCAGUCAUUGUGGACUCCAGGCUGAGGACGCCGCUGUGAGCAGGACUGAGCUCACAUUCAGUUUAAAGGUCCUGAAAACAGCACGUUCAUUUGAAUCAUGAGCUCAGACUGUAAAGCAAAGAUGGACGUAGCCACGGUGAAGUCACUUUUAGCCCUUUUCUGCGCGUACCUGCUUACACAGCUCGGCUGUGCUUUGCUCACCAUUACAAUCGAGGACCACCUGAUGUGCGUGGGGUCGUUACAGCAUCGCUGUGGUCCAAUCACGUCAUUUGUAUGUGACGUGAACGCAACAACGUUGGUGUUGGGCUUUUUCUCCGACCACGGCAUAGCCAGGCUUAAAAAAAUGUGGGUCUUGAUUUUCAUGAAGUACACGCUCUCAAAACCUGCUGAGUGACAUCACUGACUGGUCAUGAGGUCUGCUGAUGUCACAUUUUCACAUUGCCUGGGAUCGCUUGGAAGCUCAGGCGGGUAGGUACUGAAAGUACCGGUAACAGGUACUACCACCGAACGAAAAACUAAAAACCAGGUUGAGCCGACCUGAGCAGGCACAAGUGGAAAAAGGCUGUUAGUGAAACUUCAAGAUGGCCGAGGUCGAACACUCAGCUUGGUGUUUUGAAAGCAGACAUGAGAAUGACUGAGAAACCCAGGAUCUCUGCACACUCGCUGGAUAAUGACUUAUCACAUCACUGAUUGCCAUCUUGGUUUAUCCUUAUCUGCACUCUGACUGCAGGUUUCUCAUGAGCAGGUUCCUGGUUCAAUCCCCACCUGGGGCCUUUCUGCUUGGUGUUUGCAUGUUCACCCAGUGAUAACCAGGAGAGAUGUAGGUAAAGUGUACAGAGUGAAGCACUGCUUGAAUCUAUGGUGAAAUAUGUAGUUUGAAGCACUUUGAGUGUAUGUUUGUUUUAUUCCUUUAAAACACACAUUUCAGGUUUUAAAAAGAGAAAAUCUUGUAAACUCUCACCUGAACCCAAAACUCACUUUAAACAUAUCUUUAAAUGACUACAUUUUACUUGCAGUUUCUCUUUAAAUAUUUUCAUUUAAUUAUGUAAAUGAUCAGAUAAUGGUGAAAUGUUGUCAUUGUAUGUCUUUAUUUAUAAGAACAACAGUGUAAAACCAUAAAAUCACUUCCUUAUGUUACAAAGAUCCUGAUCUAAUUCUCACCAGACCAAAUAAAAUCUGCUGAUAGACUCAUAAAUGGAAACCUGCACGUCUUUAAUUCACGUCAGACGUUUCCCAGCACGUCGUCCUGCUGCUGCCUCCUGUUUCCUCUGGUCAAAUCAUCUUUUAAACUUUUGUCUCGAUGUUGCUCAAAAUAAGAAACUUGACUUUCGUAACAUUAGAUGCUGACUCAUCUACAAAGUAAAUGGUAAAUGGCCUGUAUUUAUAUAGUGCUUUUCUAGUCCCUAAGGACCCCAAAGCGCUUUACAUAUCCA
ensembl:lncRNA